rnacentral:rRNA from 1 species
CCUACGGGUGGCUGCAGUGAGGAAUAUUGGUCAAUGGCCGGAAGGCUGAACCAGUCAUGCCGCGUGAAGGUUAGUGCCCUUUGGGCGUUAAACUUCUUUUGUUCGGGAACAAUAAUGGUCCAUUGUACCCCUAAUCACGUUCCGUACGAAUAACCGUCGGCUAACUCCGUUCCAGCAGCCGCGGUAAGACGGGGGAUGCAAGCGUUAUCCGGGUUUAUUGGGUUUAAAGGGGGCGUAGGCGGUUCUGUAAGUCAGAGGUGAAAUGCCCCCGCGCAACGGGUUGAAGUGGAUUGAUACUGCCAUGCUGGAAUACGGAUGCGGUGGGAGGAAUGCGUGGUGUAGCGGUGAAAUGCAUAGAGAUCACAAAGAACACCGAGUGCGAAGGCAUCUUACUAAAACGUGAUUGACGCUGAUGCACGAAAGCGUGGGUAGCAAACAGGAUUAGAUACCCGGGUAGUC